UACAGAGGGUUCAAGCGUUGUUCGGAUUUAUUGGGCGUAAAGGGUGCGUAGGCGGCGCGGUAAGUCGGAUGUGAAAUCUCGGAGCUUGACUCCGAAACUGCAUUCGAUACUGCCGUGCUUGAGGACUGGAGAGGAGACUGGAAUUUACGGUGUAGCGGUGAAAUGCGUAGAUAUCGUAAGGAAGACCAGUGGCGAAGGCGGGUCUCUGGGCCGGUAUUGACGCUGAGGCGCGAAAGCUAGGGGAGCAAACGGG
rnacentral:rRNA from 1 species